rnacentral:rRNA from 1 species
ACUCAAAGGAAUAGACGGGGACUCGCACAAGCGGUGGAUUAUGUGGCUUAAUUCGUCGGCAAACGAAGAACCUUACCAAGGUUAGAAAUCCAGCUGCAUCUCACCCGAAAGGGAGAGAGCCUUCGAGGGUGCUGGACAGGUGAUGCAUGGUCGUCGUCAGUUCGUGGUUUGAACUGUUCCCUUCAGUGGGGUAACGAACGCAACCCCCGUUGCCUGUUAAAUAUUCCAGGCGAGACUGCUCCCUCACGGGAGAGGAAGGUGGGGAUGACGCCAGAUCAGCAUGUCCCUCUGAUACCUUGGGCUGCACACAUAAUACAAUGGUCGGAACAGAAGGAUGCAAUACCGCAAGGUGGAGCAAAUCCCGAAAACCGUCCUCAGUACGGAUUGAGGUCUGCAAUCGACCUCAUGAAGCUGGAAUCGCUAGUAAUCGUAGGUCAGCCAAACUACGGUGAAUACGUUCUCGAGUCUUGUACACACCGCCCGU